UGAAGAGUUUGAUCAUGGCUCAGAUUGAACGCUGGCGGCAGGCCUAACACAUGCAAGUCGAACGGUAACAGGAAGCAGCUUGCUGCUUUGCUGACGAGUGGCGGACGGGUGAGUAAUGUCUGGGAAACUGCCUGAUGGAGGGGGAUAACUACUGGAAACGGUGGCUAAUACCGCAUAACGUCGCAAGACCAAAGAGGGGGACCUUCGGGCCUCUUGCCAUCAGAUGUGCCCAGAUGGGAUUAGCUUGUUGGUGAGGUAACGGCUCACCAAGGCGACGAUCCCUAGCUGGUCUGAGAGGAUGACCAGCCACACUGGAACUGAGACACGGUCCAGACUCCUACGGGAGGCAGCAGUGGGGAAUAUUGCACAAUGGGCGCAAGCCUGAUGCAGCCAUGCCGCGUGUAUGAAGAAGGCCUUCGGGUUGUAAAGUACUUUCAGCGGGGAGGAAGGUGUUGUGGUUAAUAACCGCAGCAAUUGACGUUACCCGCAGAAGAAGCACCGGCUAACUCCGUGCCAGCAGCCGCGGUAAUACGGAGGGUGCAAGCGUUAAUCGGAAUUACUGGGCGUAAAGCGCACGCAGGCGGUCUGUCAAGUCGGAUGUGAAAUCCCCGGGCUCAACCUGGGAACUGCAUUCGAAACUGGCAGGCUUGAGUCUUGUAGAGGGGGGUAGAAUUCCAGGUGUAGCGGUGAAAUGCGUAGAGAUCUGGAGGAAUACCGGUGGCGAAGGCGGCCCCCUGGACAAAGACUGACGCUCAGGUGCGAAAGCGUGGGGAGCAAACAGGAUUAGAUACCCUGGUAGUCCACGCCGUAAACGAUGUCUACUUGGAGGUUGUGCCCUUGAGGCGUGGCUUCCGGAGCUAACGCGUUAAGUAGACCGCCUGGGGAGUACGGCCGCAAGGUUAAAACUCAAAUGAAUUGACGGGGGCCCGCACAAGCGGUGGAGCAUGUGGUUUAAUUCGAUGCAACGCGAAGAACCUUACCUGGUCUUGACAUCCACGGAAGUUUUCAGAGAUGAGAAUGUGCCUUCGGGAACCGUGAGACAGGUGCUGCAUGGCUGUCGUCAGCUCGUGUUGUGAAAUGUUGGGUUAAGUCCCGCAACGAGCGCAACCCUUAUCCUUUGUUGCCAGCGAUUAGG
rnacentral:rRNA from 1 species